rnacentral:rRNA from 1 species
CGGUCCUAAGGUAGCGAAAUUCCUUGUCGGGUAAGUUCCGACCUGCACGAAUGGCAUAACGAUGGCCACACUGUCUCCUCCCGAGACUCAGUGAAGUUGAAAUGUUUGUGAUGAUGCAAUCUCCCCGCGGCUAGACGGAAAGACCCCAUGAACCUUUACUGUAGCUUUACAUUGGACUUUGAACCGAUCUGUGUAGGAUAGGCGGGAGGCUGUGAACGAAGUACGCCAGUACGUCGGGAGCCGACGUUGAAAUACCGCCCUGAUUUGUUUGAGGUUCUAACCGCGAUCGGUCAUCCCGGUCCGGGACCGUGUAUGGUAGGCAGUUUGACUGGGGCGGUCUCCUCCUAAAGGGUAACGGAGGAGUACAAAGGUACGCUAGGUACGGUCGGAAAUCGUGCUGAUAGUGCAAUGGCAUAAGCGUGCUUGACUGCGAGACCGACAAGUCGAGCAGAUGCGAAAGCAGGUCAUAGUGAUCCGGUGGCUUCUGAAUGGAAGGGCCAUCGCUCAACGGAUAAAAGGUACUCUGGGGAUAACAGGCUGAUACCGCCCAAGAGUUCAUAUCGACGGCGGUGUUUGGCACCUCGAUGUCGGCUCAUCUCAUCCUGGGGCUGAAGUCGGUCCCAAGGGUAUGGCUGUUCGCCAUUUAAAGAGGUACGUGAGCUGGGUUCAAAACGUCGUGAGACAGUUUGGUCCCUAUCUGCCGUGGGCGCUGGAAGAUUGACGGGGGCUGCUCCUAGUACGAGAGGACCGGAGUGGACGCACCUCUGGUGUAUCGGUUGUGACGCCAGUCGCAUUGCCGAGUAGCUAUGUGCGGAAGAGAUAACCGCUGAAAGCAUCUAAGCGGGAAACUUGCCUGAAGAUAAGUCUUCCCGGAGGCUUGACCUCCCAAAAGAGUCGUUCGAGACCAGGACGUUGAUAGGUCGAAUGUGUAAGCGCUGUGAGGCGUUGAGCUAAUCGAUACUAAUUGCUCGUGAGACUUGAUCCU